CUCUUAAUUUAAAAGACAGUAGUUAAACUCUACUAUUAAGGG
rnacentral:tRNA from 2 species